AUAGUUAAAAACGAUAAAAAAAAUGCUUCAGCUCCUAUUUCAAUAGCAAUUCAUUUCCUGCAACAAAUAAAAGAAAUAAAAGAAAAGUAUAUACAUUAAACAAUCUACAACAAGUUAGAAUAUUUUUUGCAUAGUUGGAUACACAAACAAUUUGUCUUUUUGAAUUUUUGAUUUAAUGAAUUAUUAACAAAAUAGACAAUUGUCAAAACUAUGUACAUGCACAUUCUACUCUCAUUAAAGGAAAAAAAAAAAAAAAAACAGACAUGGAAGAGAAGUAGAAAAAGGGGGAAUAGAUCAUAGGUGCCAGCAAAUCAAUUUAGCAACAGUUCAUGUUGUUAUCAUGCCCAAAUUCAACAUAAACAAGUAUUAUGCCAAUUCGAUCAUUAUUAGAUAAUGUGUGCUUGUCUCUCUGCAUUUAAAUACAUAUGCAUACAAACAUAAAUAAAUACGGCCAUUACACAUAACCACCAAUUUACACACAUGCAUUGAUGCAAAAAUGCGCAUGGAUUAAAGGCAUGCACAGAAACAAGCAUGCUUCUACGAAUAUGUUCCCGUGGAGAACUAGAUCGUAUAUUAGAACAUAUAUUAUAUCUGUCAUGUGACAUUCAUGCAUUAAGAAAAAAUUUACAAAGCAUACAAAGAGAAUCCACAAUAAAAUUGGCAUGGCAGAACAAUUCUCCAAGCUAGUAAGACAAACACGGUUAAGGCAUACAUGAGUAGGAAAUUCCCGACCAAAAAGUAUGUGUACAAUACAGAAUGAGUAGUACAUUCAAAACUGGAAAGUAUAAAAAUAAUAUUGAAAAUCAUCAAAAAUAAAGAAGGUCAAAAUUGCAUUUUUCAAUGUCCCAUUAGAAUUGUAGCAACAAUCAUACCUUAAACCCUAUAUCUACUCAUCUCAUUGUAUGUGUCAAAGAAACAAAUAAAAUGCAAACCUUGCAAUGACUUUUAAACUUCUUGGCAAGGUUGUCUAGGAGCUAGUUGAGGCCCUCUCCCCUCUUUGUGAACCUACAAUCAAUUAAAAUAGAGAUUUAGAUAGUCGAUAAAUAAAACUUAAAUUCAAUUGACUAAUAUAAGCAAUAGUGUAUUUAUACUGAUAGGAUAGCCAUCUGAUGUUGAUGAUG
rnacentral:lncRNA from 1 species